ACGAGGCCUUGCUGAAUUGUAACUGUCGGCAUGGAGACCUGUCAGACACGUGGACCACAGCCUGACCUACAGGGCCACCUGCUGGCCAAAGCAUGGAAACACCACUACCAACAACUCUGUGGUGUGUGUGUGUGUGUGUGUAUGUGUGUGUUCAUAAGUGUGUGAGUGUGCGGGCGUGUGUGUGGUAAACACAUGACAUCUCCUGGUUAUUGUGAUGGUGGAAUCUGUAAGGCAGAGCAGGGAGGAACAGUCAGAGUUCUCCUGGGGGGAGGAGCAGGGAGGAGGCGCAGAAGGGACAGUCAGAGUUCUCCUGGAGAGAGGAGCAGGGAGGAGGCGCAGGAGGAACAGUCACUGCAGAGCUGAAACCGAAUCCUGAUUUGCUGUCAGAGAGAGUAAAAGGGGGAGGGGGCCCGUGGGGGGGGGGGGGCUCAGUGCAGGCAGGAUGUCACACUCACUUCCGGAACUCUACUUCAAAAGUCUGAAAAAAGCGAACUGGUAAGAAGAAAAAAAGAUAAUAUCCUCCGUAUUUGUUUUUGAAAACUAAAAAC